rnacentral:tRNA from 1 species
ACUAAGAUGGCUGAUUUAGGUAAUAGACUGUAAAUUUAUUUAAGAAUUUUAAAAUUCUCUUAGUA